rnacentral:rRNA from 1 species
GACGAACGCUGGCGGCGUGCCUAAUACAUGCAAGUCGAGCGGACUUGUAGGAGCUUGCUCCUGCAGGUUAGCGGCGGACGGGUGAGUAACACGUGGGCAACCUACCUGUAAGACUGGGAUAACUUCGGGAAACCGGAGCUAAUACCGGAUGACACUAAGGAACUCCUGUUCCUUAGUUGAAAGAUGGCUUCGGCUAUCACUUACAGAUGGGCCCGCGGCGCAUUAGCUAGUUGGUGAGGUAACGGCUCACCAAGGCGACGAUGCGUAGCCGACCUAGGAGGGUGAUCGGCCACACUGGGACUGGGACACGGCCCAGACUCCUACGGGAGGCAGCAGUAGGGAAUCUUCCGCAAUGGACGAAAGUCUGAAGGAACAACGCCGCGUGAGCGAUGAAGGCCUUCGGGUCGUAAAGCUCUGUUGUUAGGGAAGAACAAGUGCUAGUUAAAUAAGCUGGCACCUUGACGGUACCUAACCAGAAAGCCACGGCUAACUACGUGCCAGCCGCCGCCGUAAAAC